rnacentral:lncRNA from 1 species
CACCACGGAGAUGGGCAGGCAGGAGACAUCCCCAGUCAGUCGGGCCCAGGUGGGGAUCAGGAGGUUUCAGGAAAACACAAGCUAUGCAGUGGGGCAGGUGAGGCUUGGCCUGCCCAGCCUGUCCUGAGUGUCAUGGGAACAGCUCUGGAAGUGACUCCUCUGUCCUCUGGAAUCUGGAUCAGAUGGGGCCUUCUCCAGACAUCUGUGCUCAGCAGAUGCGACAGACGGCCCCUCGAGUGUAGCCCAGGAUCCAGCACCGGCCCAAGCAGGUGGGAGCUAAGGGGAAACCGAGGCUCACAGCGAGGAACUUGGUCAACAAGCCCAGGCCCCUCCACCCUGCCCGCGUUUCCUGCACUGCACUGGAUCAAACCGGUUUGAUCCUUGAUAAUGCCUCCGACAAAUAUUUGAUGAGGGAGGAGGCUGAGAGAGGGGCUGUGGAACAAAUCACCACAAACUGGAGGGCCGAAAACACCAGCAAUGGGCUCCCUCUUGGUUCUGGAGCCGAGAAGGCAGAAAUGAAGGCGUCAUCAGGGUUGCUCCUUCUGGGGCCUCAGAGCAGGACUCUGUUCCCUGCCCGUCCCCAGCUCCGGUGGUUGGCGGCCUUCCUCCGCCUGUGGCCCUGCACUCCAAUCGCUGCCUCUGUUGUCACUUGGCCCCCCAUGUGCCUCUGUGUCUCAGAAGGACACAAGUCAUAUUGAAUUAAGGACCCUCCCUACCCCAGCAUGACCCCGUUUUAACUUAGAACUUUCACAAUGAUCUGAUUUGCAAAGAAGGCUGGAUUCUGAGGUCCUGGGAAGGACAUGAAUUUUGGGGGAUGCUGUUCACCUCAGUACACCGGUGCAGAGUUCGGUGACACCGCCAAGUUGCUUGACGGUGAGCAGCCUGGCAUUGUAGAAAGGCAGAGGUUGACUUUAGUUUGGUCCCUGGCUUUGUCCUUUAUUUGUUCUGUGACACCUUGGACAAGUUUUGUGACCCGAGUGUCAGUUUCCUAGGAACCAGUGACAAUGAUCAGAGAUAGGGGGACUCAAGGGUAAGUAAAGUGCAGGAUGAACUGCAGCGGAGCGUGUGAGGUGCCUGGCAGGUGUCGGCCACCCAGUGGCGCUCGAAGCACCUGCUGCUCCCUCCUUCCUCGCUCCCAGCUGCCUUCUCUGCUGGGAGCUCUUUGGAGAGGAGCUGUGUGACUGGUUCAUCCUGUCCCUCGAGGAGCUACCAGUUCAGUCAAGGACAUUGAGAAGCAGCGGAUGGUGACAGUGCAGUGUGACAGUGGUGUGCUGUGGGAGCCCCAUGGAGCGGCUACCCAGGCAGGAACGUCAGGGAGGCUUCCUGGAGGAGGUGGUGCUUCAGAUGAGACUUGAAGGAGCAGAAGGUGUUUGCUAGACAAAGGGGCUUGCUUGGAUGAAUGGUCUUCAGAGCGUGGUCCCAGUAAGGAAGGAGACCACUACUACUCUUGCUGCCCUCCUCCCCCGACCUUGCCUAGUUUACAAGACAGGAGGAAAGAGAGAAAGCAAAAAGUUAGAAAAAAAAAAAAAAAAAACAGAAGUAAGAUAAAUAGCCAGAAGACCUUGGCACCACCACCUGGCCCUGGUAGUUAAAAAAAGUAAUAAUAAUAAUAUCGACCCCUGACUUAAACUACUUGUAUUAUCUGUAAAUUCCAGACAUUGUAGGAAAAAGCAUUGCAAAAUUUUCUGUUCUGUUAGCUGAUUCAUGUAGCCCCCAGUCACGUUCCCCAUGCUUGUUCGAUUUAUCAUGACCCUUUCACGUGGGCCCCUUAGAGGUGUAAGCCCUUAAAAGGGCCAAGAAUUUCUUUUUCCGGGAGCUCGGCUCUUAAGACGCAAGUCUGCUGAUGCUCCCGGCUGAAUAAACCUCUUCCUUCUUUAA